UACGUAGGGUGCAAGCGUUGUCCGGAAUUAUUGGGCGUAAAGAGCUCGUAGGCGGUUUGUCGCGUCUGCCGUGAAAGUCCGGGGCUCAACUCCGGAUCUGCGGUGGGUACGGGCAGACUAGAGUGAUGUAGGGGAGACUGGAAUUCCUGGUGUAGCGGUGAAAUGCGCAGGAUAUCAGGAGGAACACCGGUGGCGAAGGCGGGUCUCUGGGCCGAUACUGACGCUGAGGAGCGAAAGCGUGGGGAGCGAACAGG
rnacentral:rRNA from 1 species